rnacentral:snRNA from 1 species
AUCACUUCUCAGCCUUUUGGCUAAGAUCAAGUGUAGAAGUUAGCCUGGAUAUAUGUCUAACAUUAAAAUUUUUAAUUAACAUUU